ACGGCCUCCCAAGGCGACGAUGGGUAGCCGGCCUGAGAGGUGAUCGGCCACACUGGACUGAGACACGGCCCAGACUCUACGGGAGGCAGCAGUAGGAAUCUCCACAAUGGCGCAAGCCUGAUGGAGCAACGCCGCGUGAGUGAAGACGGCCUUCGGGUUGUAAAGCUCUGUCAGUCGGGACGAGGACGGCGCAGGAGUCCUGCGCGGGGCCGGUACCGACGAAUGAAGCCCCUGCUAACUACGUGCCAGCAGCCGCGGUAAGACGUAGGGGGCAAGCGUUGUCCGGAAUUACUGGGCGUAAAGGGCGUGUAGGCGGUGCGGUACGUAGCGGUUUUAAGCCUCCGGCUCACCCGGAGGAGGGCGGCUAAACGGCAGCACUAGAGGGCAGGAGAGGUGCGCGGAAUUCCUGGUGGAGCGGUGAAAUGCGUAGAGAUCAGGAAGAACACCGGUGGCGAAGGCGGCGCACUGGCCUGGCCCUGACGCUGAGGCGCGACAGCGUGGGGAGCAAACGGGAUUAGAUACCCCGGUAGUCCACGCCGUAAACGAUGGGUACUAGGUGUCGCGGGGGUCCACCUCGCGGUGCCGGAGCUAACGAACUAAGUACCCCGCCUGGGAGUACGGCCGCAAGGUUGAAACUCAAAGGAAUUGACGGGGGCCCGAACAAGCAGUGGAGCAUGUGGUUUAAUUCGACGCAACGGCAGAACCUUACCAGGACUAGACGGGACCGUGAGCG
rnacentral:rRNA from 1 species